GUCUCGAUAGCUAAGUGGUAUAGCAUGCGAUUGCAGUGGAAACACCUAUCGCAGGGUCCGGUGUUCGAACCACCGUCGGGACU
rnacentral:tRNA from 1 species